AAGAUUUUAAGUUAAUAAAACUAUUAACCUUCAAAGUUAAAAAUAAUAAAAUUAAAUAUUAAAUCUUA
rnacentral:tRNA from 1 species